UUCAUUUACCUUUACAACCCAUCAACACAGAAUUGCAAGGGAGAGAGCGGCAGACACGCAAUUGAAAACCCUAGCUCCACGUUCCACCGCCUCGACACCGCACUGUUGUGUUACCGUCACCGUCAAUGUUUCAACUUCAACGGUGGCAGCGGCAAGAAGGGAUUUGAGGGUUGGACACUGAUUUUGGUUUUCUCCUAGCGCAAACCCUCAUCAAUACAUCAAAUCUGAGAGAGGGAGAGAGAGAAAUAGACGAAGAUGAGAGAGGAAGAGAGAGAGAGAGUGGAAUCGGAAUUGGUCUUCCGGCUAUAGGGUUUGGAUUAUGAGUUACGGACUAACCUUCGUCGUCUCAACUCUCAGAGACCAGGUGUUCUAUAAAAUACCAAUGAGAUGAAUUGAUAUGGUUUUGUCUUGAAACACUUGGGUAUCCAGUUAUGGAAGCUAAGAAUAGUCAUUGACUGCAAUUUGCAAGUGGUUGUCGACUCUGGUCGGAGGAGCCGGAUUUGAAAAGGUUGCAGCUUACAUUGUCUCUUCUGAAGCAAUGGCGGAGACAAAUGAGUGCUUAAUUUGGUCGAUUUUGUAUACAGGUACCAUGGUUAGUUUUAUAAAUAUGCCUUUAACCUACAAACUGUUUGUGGCUAAUUUGUUAUAAAGUGUGAAUUUGUUUGGAUCUGCAUAGAAUCUUAUUGAUCUAUGGUUUGAUAAAUUUGGUGAUGAAAUUGUAGAGUUGUGUUUGUUUUUUCUUUUUGUUGGAAAUCGUGAUAUAAAAUUUGGCAAUUUCAAUUUUGAUCUAGCAGGGAAGAUUGUAAGGGAAUAGCAGGUAUGCAUUUUUUUCAUUCAUAUUUUGUUUUUUCGUGUCAAACCGUGAGUGUGUUUUUGGUGGAGUGGUUUUUGUGUGUUUGGAUAAUUAUUUUUAUUUGAUUGUUUAUGAUAUAACUGUAGGCCUUUACCGCAUAUUCCUGAUUUGUCGAAAAAAACUGAAUUUCGGUGGUGUUGUAUAAAAAAUAAUAAUAUGUGUGUGGUUUCUUUUAGAUGAAGGUUUAUACAUGUGCAAGUGAAUGUGUAUUGGCUAAAUACAUUUCGUUCUCUAAUGCAAAACUUCCAGCAACAUCGGCUACAGUGAAGCUAAUGCCGUCUACUGGCUAUACGAAGUCGACCCAACAAUCAUCAAGGCUCUAGCGAAUUCCAAAAGGCGGUUCUCCAUUUACAAUAAAUAAAAAUAUUAUCCUAGACGAGAGUUUAGCCUAAUCAGUGAGUAAAUCGAUACUAUAUAAGGGUAUAAGACCAUACCCUUGCUGCCAUUAUUUAUUUUUAUCAUAUUUUUGUCACUUGCAUACAUAAUACACCUUAUGGAUAAAUUUUUGUUGAGCAUAUAUCAUCUCCGAGUUAAGUUGGAUACUAUUGACUUUAAAAGGUUAUGUGAUAUGGAGAGGGAGAACACAGAUGAGAGAGUCGUUUUAUUCUUACGAUUAGCUUCUACACAGAUGGUGGUUUAGCAGCGACGACGACAACCGUAUGAGCGGAGGAAACCAUCAUCUUAGAUGGGUUUAUCAAGGCUGGCAAGAAAGUUUUCGUCGCCUGCCAAUCACGAAUACAAACGAUAAUAUGCAUUGGCGAAUGUUUCGACAAAAAAAAAAAAAAAAACACGUCAGGAAGAAAUCGAUUGAUAACGAGCCGGAUGAAGAGUAUAACCGAUUCAAGCUGCGAAAAGGCAGGGAGGUUUGUAAUUUCUAGGAUUUAAAACUUCAUUUAAGCUAUGUAUCAUGUUUAGUUUAUCAAUUUCAUAAUUGAAUUUGUUUGGUUUAGAUUAA